UAGUGAGUUUGAUCCUGGCUCAGGAUGAACGCUGGCGGUCUGCUUAACACAUGCAAGUCGAACGAAGCCUUCGGGUCUAGUGGCGCACGGGUGCGUAACGCGUGGGAACCUGCCUUAGGUUCGGAAUAACUCAGAGAAAUUUGAGCUAAUACCGGAUGAUGUCUUCGGACCAAAGAUUUAUCGCCGAGGGAUCGGCCCGCGUCUGAUUAGCUAGUUGGUGGGGUAAUGGCCUACCAAGCCGACGAUCCAUAGCUGGUUUGAGAGGAUGAUCAGCCACACUGGGACUGAGA
rnacentral:rRNA from 1 species